UUUCUUUCUUUGUUUUGUUUUUUGUUUUGUUUGCAUAUAUUGCACAAAGGAUUAGUUUAGCAAUCAAAUCAGCCUUGCUUCCAACUUGUCUUUUGGGGGAAAAUACAAUGUCUACAUUCAGGAAUCGUAAUUAAAUAUCCUUUUACUAAAAUACAUUCUUCAUUUUUUCUGCACUGUAUAGAAAAAGUGCUGGGUUUUUUGGUCUUGAGACCUAAAUUUAAUUGUGAGAAAAUGCUAUACAGCAGGGGUGGGUAAAGCAUACACCUUUUGUAGCCACUGCCCCCCCCCACGAAUCUCAGUAUUUUAUUAAGCAACAGAAAAUUAGCACUGCAAAUUGCAGCUUUCCAAUCACGUUGAGCUUUAAAAAACUUUAGUUAGUAUUAGUUUAUCUUGCCUUAAAGAUAGUGUACCUCUUUUAUUUUUGUCUAAAAUUCUUUCCUUCAUAACCUAUAUAAUACAAGGGUGAAAUCUCAGGUGAACUCCUCCAGACUUAGACAUUUUUCUAUGGAAAAGUUUAGAAUCAAUCUGUUUAUACUCCACGGGACAGAACGUUACAACAUUAUUCUCAGGUUUGUCAGUUGUCAGCUAUGUCUCUUGCAGAGGGAGGAACUUGGUAUCUGUCAGUUUCUCAUUCUGCCAGUAUUCUGUUUGUUGUGUCCUUUUCCCUAUAUUAUUUUGCAAUUCUUAUUCUCCCCCUCCCCCACCCAAAAAGUCUGCAUGAAAUUUCCAUCCAUUUGCAUUUCCCUCUCUGCGGUUUUGUAUGCAAUUUUGCCUAAGACAUGCAUUUUGCAAGCAUUUUCCUUUAUUUACUGUAUUUAUUUUUAAUACUGUUUUUUUACCUUGACCAAAAAUAUAGUACAUACAUGUCUGUGCUCAUUUAUUUUUUGGAAAGCAAAACAGCCCAAAUCUUUGAACCCAAUUAGAUCAGUGGGUCUUAUUUUUAUAAUAAUGUCCUUAAAAUUAGUGUCAGACACAUUUCCUCACACAGGAAGAUGUAAUUAUUUAGCUACCAAUCUGCCCGUGCCCACUGAUUUUAAUUACUUCUUGGAGGGAAGUACUUUAGAUGACUUUGUGUAGUUUCCUUUUGAAAACAGGGGAUUUAUUGCAGAAAGGAAUAACUUUUACUUGUGCUUCAAGAACUCCUGUAAUUAGGGACUGCGUCAGGGUGGCAUACACCUAAAAGUUAUUGGAAACCUUGGCUGGUUUCAAAGCUCCCUGAUAAGAUCAAAGCUAGGGGCAAAUAAGUCAGGUUUGAAAUUUAGGUUAUUAUUGCUGCAGUCAAGUGUGGAGGUAGCUUUGAACUGUCACACUGGCUGUUUGACCAAUACAUCAGCCUGCUCCCAAGAACACAACUCACAUUACCAUGUGAGAAGCCUCUCAAAAGAGAAAUUGCAUUCCCCUCCUCAAGAGGUGGGAGUUACAAAAGAUUUACUCCCUCUCUCUCUUCUGAUUGCUGUGGAGGAGGAGGAGGAAAUAGUCUUGGUGUCACCUGGAAUAUUCUGGGGUUCGGUUAUACAUUAUCCACAAGCAUAAAAAUGCUGGAAAGGUCAGCCGUCUCUCUUCUAUGAUAGACAGAGGUUCCCUCACCCUGUAGUCUAACAUGCCACUAAGAUGCUCAUGGCGUGUGUAAGGGCAAUGUUCAUCCCAAAGUAAUCUCUUUGGAGUAAGAGCUUGCUGCCCUGCCCUGCCUUGUCCCACCCACCCCAUCAGCCAUUGCUUCUAACACAUCAUGUGCAAGGCUGGGUUUGGAGCAUGGCUCCGAAAUCUUUCCUCUUUGGACCACCAUUCCUCAGCCAGCCCAGAUUUUGAGAGGUUAUAUGUGCUGCCCUGCUGUCAGCUCACCUAAACCAUUGAACUUUCAUGAAAGAAAUAAAAGAGAGUUAGCUUCUGCCGCUCUCUGCAUAUUUACUUUAAAACAAGUAUCUGCAACUGUGUGAGUGCCUGGCCAGUCCCCUUAUUUUGAAAAACAAAAAUGUAAGAUGAAAGGUUGCCGAAAAAGCCUCCAUAAGCCGUCUGGACAUUCCUAGGUUGGCCAGGAAUUCUCACAAGUCUUGCUUGCUGAUGGGGGUCAGUUGAGGUCAUGCAGAGCCCCAAACUGCCCAGCCCUGGUUGCAAUAUUGAUUAGUGUCUGAAUAUAGUAAUACUAGAAUCAUAACUUUUGAAGACAUUCCUAAUAAUAGUAAUCUUAGAAGUGCAGAGCUGGAAAGGUCCUUGUGGAGUCCAGUCCCGAUGAGAGGCACAGUAGAGAAUUGAACUCCCAACCUCUUGCUCCACAGCCAGAGACCUAAACCACUGAGCUAUUCAGCAGUUCCUAAACAUUAUCUCAUCCAGUCUACUGGCAGUGUAGGAUACUUGCAACUAACGCACGCUGACAGAGAGCCAAAAAACAAAGACAAAAAAA